UACGUAGGCAGCAAGCGUUGUUCGGAAUUACUGGGCGUAAAGAGUGUGUAGGCGGUGCUCUAAGUUCGGUGUGAAAUCUCCCGCUUAACUGGGAGGGUGCGCCGGAAACUGGAGUGCUCGAGCGUGGGGAGAGGAAAGCGGAAUUCCUGGUGUAGCGGUGAAAUGCGUAGAUAUCAGGAGGAACACCUGCGGUGUAGACGCUUUCUGGACCAUUGCUGACGCUGAGACACGAAAAGCGUGGGUAGCAAACAGG
rnacentral:rRNA from 1 species